rnacentral:rRNA from 1 species
GCAUCGAUGAAGAACGCAGCCAGCUGCGAUAAGUAGUGUGAAUUGCAGAAUUCAGUGAAUCAUUGAAUCUUUGAACGCAAAUGGCGCUCUUGGGUUCUCCCAGGAGCAUGUCUGUCUGAGUGUCGGAU